AGUGAACGCUGGCGGUAGGCCUAACACAUGCAAGUCGAACGGCAGCACAGUAAGAGCUUGCUCUUACGGGUGGCGAGUGGCGGACGGGUGAGGAAUACAUCGGAAUCUACUUUUUCGUGGGGGAUAACGUAGGGAAACUUACGCUAAUACCGCAUACGACCUACGGGUGAAAGCAGGGGAUCUUCGGACCUUGCGCGAUUGAAUGAGCCGAUGUCGGAUUAGCUAGUUGGCGGGGUAAAGGCCCACCAAGGCGACGAUCCGUAGCUGGUCUGAGAGGAUGAUCAGCCACACUGGAACUGAGACACGGUCCAGAAUCCUACGGGAGGCAGCAGUGGGGAAUAUUGGACAAAGGGCGCAAGCCUGAUCCAGCCAUACCGCGUGGGUGAAGAAGGCCUUCGGGUUGUAAAGCCCUUUUGUUGGGAAAGAAAAGCAGCAGGUUAAUACCCCGCUGUUCUGACGGUACCCAAAGAAUAAGCACCGGCUAACUUCGUG
rnacentral:rRNA from 1 species